UACGUAGGUGGCAAGCGUUAUCCGGAAUUAUUGGGCGUAAAGAGCGCGCGGGUGGUUGAUUAAGUCUGAUGUGAAAGCCCACGGCUUAACAGUGGAGGGUCAUUGGAAACUGGUCGACUUGAGUGCAGAAGAGGGAAGUGGAAUUCCAUGUGUAGCGGUGAAAUGCGUAGAGAUAUGGAGGAACACCAGUGGCGAAGGCGGCUUCCUGGUCUGUAACUGACACUGAGGCGCGAAAGCGUGGGGAGCAAACAGGAUUAGAUAU
rnacentral:rRNA from 1 species